AGGUUAAGUGAAUAAGGGCGCACGGUGGAUGCCUUGGCACUAGGAGCCGAUGAAGGACGGGACUAACACCGAUAUGCUUUGGGGAGCUGUACGUAAGCUAUGAUCCAGAGAUUUCCGAAUGGGGGAACCCAACAUCUUUAAUAGGAUGUUACGAUUGUGUGAAUACAUAGCACAUUCGAGGUAGACGCAGAGAACUGAAACAUCUAAGUACCUGCAGGAAGAGAAAGAAAAUUCGAUUCCCUGAGUAGCGGCGAGCGAAACGGGAAAAGCCCAAACCAGCAAGCUUGCUUGUUGGGGUUGUAGGACUCCAAUAUGGUAGUUCUUUCAGAUAGUCGAAUGACUUGGAAAAGUCAGUCAAAGAGGGUAAAAACCCCGUAGACGAAAUGUGGAAGACACCUAGGAGGAUCCUGAGUACGGCGGAACACGAGAAAUUCCGUCGGAAUCCGGGAGGACCAUCUCCCAAGGCUAAAUACUCCCUAGUGACCGAUAGUGAACCAGUACCGUGAGGGAAAGGUGAAAAGCACCCCGGAAGGGGAGUGAAAUAGAACCUGAAACCGUGUGCCUACAACAAGUCAAAGCCCGUUAAUGGGUGAUGGCGUGCCUUUUGUAGAAUGAACCGGCGAGUUACGAUUGCAUGCGAGGUUAAGUUGAAGAGACGGAGCCGCAGCGAAAGCGAGUCUGAAUAGGGCGUUUGAGUAUGUAGUCGUAGACCCGAAACCAUGUGAUCUACCCAUGUCCAGGUUGAAGGUGCGGUAAAACGCACUGGAGGACCGAACCCACGUACGUUGAAAAGUGCGGGGAUGAGGUGUGGGUAGCGGAGAAAUUCCAAACGAACUUGGAGAUAGCUGGUUCUCUCCGAAAUAGCUUUAGGGCUAGCCUCGGAAUUGAGAAUGAUGGAGGUAGAGCACUGUUUGGACUAGGGGCCCAUCUCGGGUUACCGAAUUCAGAUAAACUCCGAAUGCCAUUCAUUCAUAUCCGGGAGUCAGACUGUGAGUGAUAAGAUCCAUAGUCGAAAGGGAAACAGCCCAGACCACCAGCUAAGGUCCCAAAAUAUAUGUUAAGUGGAAAAGGAUGUGGGGUUGCACAGACAACUAGGAUGUUGGCUUAGAAGCAGCCACCAUUUAAAGAGUGCGUAAUAGCUCACUAGUCGAGUGACCCUGCGCCGAAAAUGUACCGGGGCUAAACAUAUUACCGAAGCUGUGGAGUACACCUUUAGGUGUAUUGGUAGGAGAGCGUUCUAAGGGCGUNNNNNNNNNNNNNNNNNNNNNNNNNNNNNNNNNNNNNNNNNNNNNNNNNNNNNNNNNNNNNNNNNNNNNNNNNNNNNNNNNNNNNNNNNNNNNNNNNNNNGAAGGCAGAUCGUGAGGACUGCUGGAGCGCUUAGAAGUGAGAAUGCCGGUAUGAGUAGCGAAAGACAGGUGAGAAUCCUGUCCACCGAAUGACUAAGGUUUCCUGGGGAAGGCUCGUCCGCCCAGGGUUAGUCGGGACCUAAGCCGAGGCCGACAGGCGUAGGCGAUGGAUAACAGGUUGAUAUUCCUGUACCCGUUGUUUUUGUUUGAGCAAUGGAGGGACGCAGGAGGCUAAGGAAUGCAGACGAUCGGAAAUGUCUGUCCAAGCAGUAAGUCUGAAGAGGAGUCAAAUGCUUCUUUUCUUAAGGACAAGCUGUGAUGGGGAGGGAAAUAAUAGUACCGAAGUUCCUGAUGUCACACUGCCGAGAAAAGCUUCUAGUGAGAAAACAGCGGCCCGUACCGCAAACCGACACAGGUAGUCGAGGAGAGAAUCCUAAGGUGAGCGAGAGAACUCUCGUUAAGGAACUCGGCAAAAUGACCCCGUAACUUCGGGAGAAGGGGUGCUGAUCAUACGAUCAGCCGCAGUGAAUAGGCCCAAGCGACUGUUUAUCAAAAACACAGGUCUCUGCAAAAUCGUAAGAUGAAGUAUAGGGGCUGACGCCUGCCCGGUGCUGGAAGGUUAAGAGGAGUGCUUAGCGCAAGCGAAGGUACGAAUUGAAGCCCCAGUAAACGGCGGCCGUAACUAUAACGGUCCUAAGGUAGCGAAAUUCCUUGUCGGGUAAGUUCCGACCCGCACGAAAGGCGUAACGAUUUGGGCACUGUCUCAACGAGAGACUCGGUGAAAUUUUAGUACCUGUGAAGAUGCAGGUUACCCGCGACAGGACGGAAAGACCCCAUGGAGCUUUACUGUAGUUUGAUAUUGAGUGUCUGUACCGCAUGUACAGGAUAGGUAGGAGCCGUAGAAAUCGGAACGCUAGUUUCGAUGGAGGCGCUGGUGGGAUACUACCCCUGCGUUAUGGCCACUCUAACCCGCACCACUAAUCGUGGUGGGAGACAGUGUCAGAUGGGCAGUUUGACUGGGGCGGUCGCCUCCUAAAAGGUAACGGAGGCGCCCAAAGGUUCCCUCAGAAUGGUUGGAAAUCAUUCGAAGAGUGUAAAGGCAGAAGGGAGCUUGACUGCGAGACCAACAAGUCGAGCAGGGACGAAAGUCGGGCUUAGUGAUCCGGUGGUUCCGCAUGGAAGGGCCAUCGCUCAACGGAUAAAAGCUACCCUGGGGAUAACAGGCUUAUCUCCCCCAAGAGUCCACAUCGACGGGGAGGUUUGGCACCUCGAUGUCGGCUCGUCGCAUCCUGGGGCUGUAGUCGGUCCCAAGGGUUGGGCUGUUCGCCCAUUAAAGCGGCACGC
rnacentral:rRNA from 1 species